GAUGAACGCUAGCUACAGGCUUAACACAUGCAAGUCGUGGGGCAUCAUGAUGUAGUAAUACAUUGAUGGCGACCGGCGCACGGGUGAGUAACGCGUAUCCAACCUACCCUCCACUCAAGUAUAGGCUUCCGAAAGGGAGAUUAAUCCUUGAUAUCGUCAUUCUCUCUCCUGUUAGAAUGAUAAAAGGACAUCGUUUCGGUAGAGGAUGGGGAUGCGUUCCAUUAGGUAGUAGGUGGUUUAACAGGCCACCUAGCCGGUGAUGGAUAGGGGUUCUGAGAGGAAUGUCCCCCACACUGGUACUGAGAUACGGACCAGACUCCUACGGGAGGCAGCAGUGAGGAAUAUUGGUCAAUGGGCGCAAGCCUGAACCAGCCAUGUAGCGUGAAGGAUGACGGUUUUUUUGAUUGUAAACUUCUUUUCUGUGCGAUUAAAGUGUGGCAUUUAUGCCAUAUUGCAGU
rnacentral:rRNA from 1 species